GAUGAACGCUGGCGGCGUGCUUAACACAUGCAAGUCGAACGGAAAGGCUCCUGCUUGCAGGGGUACUCGAGUGGCGAACGGGUGAGUAACACGUGGGUGAUCUGCCCUGCACUUCGGGAUAAGCUUGGGAAACUGGGUCUAAUACCGGAUAGGACCGCAUUUUGGAUGGUGUGGUGGAAAGUUUUUUCGGUGUGGGAUGAGCUCGCGGCCUAUCAGCUUGUUGGUGGGGUAAUGGCCUACCAAGGCGUCGACGGGUAGCCGGCCUGAGAGGGUGUACGGCCACAUUGGGACUGAGAUACGGCCCAGACUCCUACGGGAGGCAGCAGUGGGGAAUAUUGCACAAUGGGCGCAAGCCUGAAGCAGCGACGCCGCGUGGGGGAUGACGGCCUUCGGGUUGUAAACUCCUUUCGCUAGGGACGAAGAGUAAUUGACGGUACCUGGAGAAGAAGCACCGGCUAACUACGUG
rnacentral:rRNA from 1 species